rnacentral:rRNA from 1 species
GACGAACGCUGGCGGCGUGCCUAACACAUGCAAGUCGAGCGGGGAUUUAAGUGGAAGUUCUUCGGAAUGGAGAUUUAAAUUCUAGCGGCGGACGGGUGAGUAACGCGUGAACAAUCUGUCCCGGACAGGGGGAUAACACUUGGAAACAGGUGCUAAUACCGCAUAAGACCACGGCCUCGCAUGGGGCUGAGGUAAAAGGAGCAAUCCGGUUCGGGGUGAGUUCGCGUCCGAUUAGCUAGUUGGUGAGGUAACGGCCCACCAAGGCGACGAUCGGUAGCCGGCCUGAGAGGGGGAACGGCCACAUUGGAACUGAGAGACGGUCCAAACUCCUACGGGAGGCAGCAGUGGGGAAUAUUGGGCAAUGGGCGAAAGCCUGACCAAGCAACGCCGCGUGAGGGAAGAAGGUUUUCGGAGUGUAAACCUCUGUCCUAUGGGACGAAGGAAGUGACGGUACCAUAGGAGGAAGCCCCGGCUAACUACGUG